rnacentral:rRNA from 1 species
GGGAUUGCCCCAGUAACGGCGAGUGAAGCGGCAACAGCUCAAAUUUGAAAUCUGGCUUUUCUUAAAGCCCGAGUUGUAAUUUGUAGAGGAUGCUUCGGGCAAGGCGGCGGUCUAAUUUGCUUGGAACAGCGAGUCAGAGAGGGUGAAAAUCCCGUCUAGGGCCGCGCGCCGCGUCCGUGUGAAGCUCCUUCGACGAGUCGAGUUGUUUGGGAAUGCAGCUCUAAAUGGGUGGUAAAUUUCAUCUAAAGCUAAAUAUGGGCCAGAGACCGAUAGCGCACAAGUAGAGUGAUCGAAAGAUGAAAAGCACUUUGAAAAGAGAGUUAAACAGUAUGUGAAAUUGUUGAAAGGGAAGCGCUUGCAACCAGACUUGCGCGUGGCGGCUCCCCCAACCUUGUGGGCUGGGCUACUCCGUCACGUCCAGGCCAGCAUCGGUUCGGGUGGUCGGUGAAAGACCCCGGGAAUGUAUCUACCUCCGGGUCGACUUAUAGCCCGGGGUGCAAUGCGGCCUACCCGGACCGAGGGACGCGCUUCGGCUCGGAUGCUGGCGUAAUGGUUGCAAGCGGCCCGUCUUGAAACACGGACCAAGGAGUCUAACAUCUAUGCGAGUGUUUGGGUGCCAAACCCCUACGCGUAAUGAAAGUGAACGGAGGUCAGAACCCUUUGGGGCGCACGAUCGACCGAUCCUGAUGUCUUCGGAUGGAUUUGAGUAAGAGCAUAGCUGUUGGGACCCGAAAGGUUGGUGACCCUUUUCUUGUUGUGGUUGAGAAUAUGCUAACGUUCUGUGACAGAUGGUGAACUAUGCCUGAAUAGGGUGAAGCCAGAGGAAACUCUGGUGGAGGCUCGCAGCGGUUCUGACGUGCAAAUCGAUCGUCAAAUUUGGGUAUAGGGGCGAAAGUGAGUGGACCUUUGUCAAUCUGGCGGCGGGCCGUGGCUAACGUGUUUUUAGGACUAAUCGAACCAUCUGGUAGCUGGUUCCUGUCGAAGUUUCCCUCAGGAUAGCAGUAACGCGUUCAGUUUUAUGAGGUAAAGCGAAUGAUUAGAGGCCUUGGGGUUGAAACAACCUUAACCUAUUCUCAAACUUUAAAUAUGUAAGAAGUCCUUGUUGCUUCGGUGAACGUGGACCUUCGAAUGUACCGUUACUAGUGGGCCAUUUUUGGUAAGCAGAACUGGCGAUGCGGGAUGAACCGAACGUGAGAUUAAGGUGCCGGAAUGCACGCUCAUCAGACACCACAAAAGGUGUCAAUGCAUCCAGACAGCCGGACGGUGGCCAUGGAAGUCGGAAUCCGCUUAGGAGUGUGUAACAACUCACCGGCCGAAUGCAUUGGCCCUGAAAAUGGAUGGCGCUUAAGCGUGCUACCUAUACCUCGCCGUCGGGGUUGAAAUGAGGCCCCGACGAGUAGGCAGGCGUGGGGGUCGGUGACGAAGCCU